rnacentral:lncRNA from 1 species
AUGCAAGCUAUACUUUAUUGUAGUUCACUAUAGCUCGGGCAAAAAUAAUCAAGAUGAUAUUACCUACCCAUGUUCAAACUACAAUAACGUAUAGCUUGCAUCAAUUAUUUCUUCAAUAAUUUCCCAUAAUUACUGUAUAUUGAUGGUUUUUCUUUUAAACGAAUCGCCCACAGAUUUCCCAGUUAACCCCAAAACAUCUAGGACAUAACCUUUCUUAGUGGGAUACUUUAAAACGCCCGUCUGUCCCUUGUUACCAACAAUUAGAGCAUCUUGUAUAAAUUCGUAAAAUUUUGGAACCCAUGCAGCUAUUACUCCAUCGAAACACAGUGUCACAGUACGAUUGAACCUAGUCUCCCUGGUAAUGAUAAUGCAAAAGGAGGAAAUGCAUAACAGUUAAACAUUUUAAGUUAGUUAAACGUGUUGUUUAAAGUCAUAAGAAACCAC